GACGAACGCUGGCGGCGUGCUUAACACAUGCAAGUGGAGCGACGAACCAGGGCUUGCCCUGGGGCAGAGCCGCGAACGGGUGAGUAACACGUGGGUAACCUACCCCGAUGACCGGGACAACCCGAGGAAACUCGGGCUAAUACCGGAUGUUGUCGUUUUCUCUAAGGAAACCGACUAAAGAUAGCUUCGGCCUUCGCAUCGGGACGGGCCCGCGGCCCAUUAGCUUGUUGGUGGGGUAACGGCCUACCAAGGCGACGAUGGGUAGCUGGUCUGAGAGGACGAUCAGCCACACUGGGACUGAGACACGGCCCAGACUCCUACGGGAGGCAGCAGUGGGGAAUCUUGCGCAAUGGGCGAAAGCCUGACGCAGCAACGCCGCGUGGGGGAAGAAGGCCUUCGGGUUGUAAACCCCUUUCAGUUGGGACGAAGCUUCCAGAGUUAAUAGCUUUGUGGAGUGACGGUACCUUCAGAAGAAGCCCCGGCUAACUACGUGCCAGCAGCCGCCGUAACAC
rnacentral:rRNA from 1 species